GACGAACGCUGGCGGCGUGCCUAAUACAUGCAAGUUGAGCGCUGAAGGUUGGUACUUGUACCAACUGGAUGAGCAGCGAACGGGUGAGUAACGCGUGGGGAAUCUGCCUUUGAGCGGGGGACAACAUUUGGAAACGAAUGCUAAUACCGCAUAAAAACUUUAAACACAAGUUUUAAGUUUGAAAGAUGCAAUUGCAUCACUCAAAGAUGAUCCCGCGUUGUAUUAGCUAGUUGGUGAGGUAAAGGCUCACCAAGGCGAUGAUACAUAGCCGACCUGAGAGGGGGAGCGGCCACAUUGGGACGGAGACACGGCCCAAACUCCUACGGGAGGCAGCAGUAGGGAAUCUUCGGCAAUGGACGAAAGUCUGACCGAGCAACGCCGCGUGAGUGAAGAAGGUUUUCGGAUCGUAAAACUCUGUUGGUAGAGAAGAACGUUGGUGAGAGUGGAAAGCUCAUCAAGUGACGGUAACUACCCAGAAAGGGACGGCUAACUACGUG
rnacentral:rRNA from 1 species